UUCGGGAGUGAGUACAGUGGCGAACGGGUGCGUAACACGUUGGUGACCUGNCUUGAGGAGGGGGACAACCGUGGGAAACCACGGCUAAUACCCCGGAUGUCUAAACUGUUAGAGGGUUUAGACUAAAACUUCGGUGCCUCAAGAGGGGCCUGCGGGCUAUCAGCUUGUUGGUGGGGUAAUGGCCUACCAAGGCUAAGACGGCUAGGGGGCGUGAGAGCGCGACCCCCCACAAUGGAACUGAGACACGGUCCAUACUCCUACGGGAGGCAGCAGUGAGGAAUAUUGCGCAAUGGGGGAAACCCUGACGCAGCAACGCCGCGUGAACGAUGAAGGCCUUCGGGUCGUAAAGUUCUUUUCUAAGGGAAGAUAGUGACGGUACCUUAGGAAUAAGUCCCGGCUAACUACGUGCCAGCAGCCGCGGUAAAACGUAGGGGGCGAGCGUUAUCCGGAUUUAUUGGGCGUAAAGCGCACGUAGGUGGCGCUGUAAGUUAGACGUGAAAGCUCUCGGCUCAACUGAGAGAGGUCGUUUAAAACUGCAGUGCUUGAGGUUAGAAGAGGAGAGCAGAAUUCCCGGUGUAGUGGUGGAAUGCGUAGAUAUCGGGAGGAAUACCAGUGGCGAAGGCGGCUCUCUAGUCUACACCUGACACUGAGGUGCGAAAGCGUGGGUAGCGAACGGGAUUAGAUACCCCGGUAGUCCACGCUGUAAACGAUGGAUACUAGGUGUAGGGGGUCAUUUAACCCCUCUGUGCCGAAGCAAACGCGUUAAGUAUCCCGCCUGGGGACUACGGCCGCAAGGUUAAAACUCAAAGGAAUUGACGGGGGCCCGCACAAGCAGCGGAGCGUGUGGUUUAAUUCGAUGAACGCGAGAACCUACUGGGCUGAAUACGUGUAGUAGUGAAGCGAAACGGAUGACCUUCGGGGAGCCUCGAUAGGUGCUGCAUG
rnacentral:rRNA from 1 species